rnacentral:rRNA from 1 species
UGGGGAAUAUUGCACAAUGGGCGCAAGCCUGAUGCAGCAACGCCGCGUGAGGGACGACGGGCCUUCGGGUUGUAAACCUCUUUAGUAGGGAAGAAGCGAAAGUGACGGUACCUGCAGAAAAAGCACCGGCUAACUACGUGCCAGCAGCCGCGGUAAUACGUAGGGUGCGAGCGUUGUCCGGAAUUAUUGGGCGUAAAGAGCUCGUAGGCGGUCCGUCGCGUCUGCUGGUGAAAAACCCGAGGCUCAACCUCGGGCCUGCAGUGGGUACGGGCAGACUAGAGUGCGGUAGGGGAGAAUGGAAUUCCUGGGUGUAGCGGUGGAAGCGCAGAUAUCGAGGAGGAACACGAUGGCGAAGGCAGGUUCUCAUGGGCCGUAACUGACGCUGAGGAGCGAAAAGCGUGGGGAGCGAAACAGGAUUAGAUACCCUGGUAGUCCACGCCGUAAAACGUUGGGCGCUAAGAUGUGGGGCA